rnacentral:rRNA from 1 species
UACAGAGGGUGCGAGCGUUAAUCGGAAUUACUGGGCGUAAAGCGUGCGUAGACGGCUAUCUAAGUCGGGUGUGAAAGCCCCGGGCUCAACCUGGGAAUUGCAUUCGAGACUGAAUAGCUAGGGUGCGGUAGAGGGAAGCGGAAUUUCCGGUGUAGCGGUGAAAUGCGUAGAUAUCGGAAGGAACAUCAGUGGCGAAAGCGGCUUCCUGGACCAGCACCGACGUUCAGGCACGAAGGCCAGGGGAGCAAACGGG